rnacentral:rRNA from 1 species
CGCGGCCUAUCAGCUUGUUGGUGAGGUAAUGGCUCACCAAGGCGACGACGGGUAGCCGGCCUGAGAGGGUGACCGGCCACACUGGGACUGAGACACGGCCCAGACUCCUACGGGAGGCAGCAGUGGGGAAUAUUGCACAAUGGGCGAAAGCCUGAUGCAGCGACGCCGCGUGAGGGAUGACGGCCUUCGGGUUGUAAACCUCUUUCAGUAGGGAAGAAGCGAAAGUGACGGUACCUGCAGAAGAAGCACCGGCUAACUACGUGCCAGCAGCCGCGGUAAUACGUAGGGUGCGAGCGUUAUCCGGAAUUAUUGGGCGUAAAGAGCUCUUAGGCGGUUUGUCGCGUCUGUCGUGAAAGUCCGGGGCUUAACCCCGGAUCUGCGGUGGGUACGGGCAGACUAGAGUGCAGUAGGGGAGACUGGAAUUCCUGGUGUAGCGGUGGAAUGCGCAGAUAUCAGGAGGAACACCGAUGGCGAAGGCAGGUCUCUGGGCUGUAACUGACGCUGAGGAGCGAAAGCAUGGGGAGCGAACAGGAUUAGAUACCCUGGUAGUCCAUGCCGUAAACGUUGGGCACUAGGUGUGGGGACCAUUCCACGGUUUCCGCGCCGCAGCUAACGCAUUAAGUGCCCCGCCUGGGGAGUACGG